UCCCUUUAUUUUAUUUUUAUUUAUGUUAUUUUUAAUAAUUAGAUUUGUGAAAAUAAAAUUCAUUGUAACUAAUAUAAAAUAUAAAAUCUGUAAGACCCAAAUUUUAUUCGGGCCUAAAAUAAACAAUCCAACAAACACAAAAAAAAAACCACUUACAAAACAAGCCCAAACCAAGCCCAAUCUAACCCUAGCCCAAAGUUAACAGAAAAAAACAAAAAUACCAAAACCCUAGGUGUGCCGCACCUAGGGUCUUCUGACCAGCAGCCUCAGCACAGCCUCUGCUGCCACCCACGUGCUGUCUGACACCCUUCAACCACCAUCUGCAAAGAAGAACAGGAAAGAGACAGAAGCCAUGUGCAGGAACAGUAACAAAGAAGCAAAAACGCAAUAGCAAUGAACCAUAAUCAACAGUAGCAAAUAGGCAGUGAAUCGGCUAUAAAGCCACCAAAACAAACGAUUGUAAGGGGUGAUUUUUGAAUACAAAAAAAUACUGUAUUACACGCAUAUUUCAGAAAUCAAAAGAAAAAAAAAGGGUUGAUUUUGAUUUUCUCUUCUUUUUCUUUUCGUUUUCCCUUUUCUUUUUUUUAUAUUAUUACAAAUCUAUUUUCAAGCAAAAUGAUAAAAUAAAAAAAAAGAGGAGAGAAAACUUACCCGAGUCCGAUCUUGCGUGACUCCGACCACUGUCCACGGUGGAGCCAAGGCUGUUCGGCGAUGGUGCGAUGAUGGGUUUUCAAAACCCUAGCAGAAAAGGAAAAAUGAAAAAGGAAGGGGAGGGGCUACUCUCUGUUUUUAGAAAAAAAGAAAGGAAGAAAUGAAAAAAAAAUUAAAAAAAAUUUGGCUUUAACAGCCCUGCAAAACGACCAUGUUUUGCUUCCCCCCCCAUACGCCUUAAAACGGCGUCGUUUAGGGGGGAACCCGCGCGACCCGACCCAGGUAGUGGAGGAUUCGCGUGUUUUCAGACGUAUGGGCUAUUUACGCCCUUAGUCCUUCCACCUUUGGGGACGUUUCAAAUGGGAUCCUUUCUGUUAUUUCCAUUUCAGCCUUAAAAUUUUAUUUCAGUUUCAAUUUAGUCCCCCAAUUUAGCCCAUACACGCUGCGCACAAGGGACCAAGGAUAUUUUCCCUUUUGGUCGCUAUUAGUUUUUGCGCAUUACGUUUUAAUCCUCCACUUUGUUUUUCAUUUCCGAUUUCCCCCUUUAAAAUUUGUUUAGCUUCCAAUUGUGGUCCUUAUUACAUAAUUUCAACUUUUACUAUUAUUUUUCCUUUUAUAGAUAUUUUAUUUUAUUUGUUUUGUUUAUAUAUUUUAUUUUUGUUUACUGAUUUAGGUAUUUAGUUAUUAUUCUUUGGUUCUUUAAUAUUUAAUAUUGUCUUUAAUUUUUUUAUCAUAUUUUUUUAUAUUUUUCUUAUAUUUUAUCUCCUCUUUUAUGUUUUUAUUUAUUUCUUAUUGUCAUAAUUAUUGUUAUUUAUUUACAUACCUCUUCAUUGCCAUUUUAUUACUACUACCUUUAUUAUUGAUAUUAUUAUUAUUACAAUUAAUUAUUAUUAUUAUCAUUUCUUAAUUGUUUUAUUUAAUAUUUCUUUAUCCUUCUAUCUAUUUGCUUAUUUUCAACUUUUUACUUGCUUUUUUUAACUGGUCUGUCUUUUUUAUUUCAUUUAUUAUUUAUCCUUUUUUAUUUCUUGCUCUUAUUGUUGUAAUUUAUAUUAUCGCAUUCGCUAUUAUUCUAUUAUGCAUAUUAAUAUCGUUUUUAUCAAGCAUAUUAUGCCAUUAUUACUACGAAUUUGCGUUGCAUUAAUAUUUACCCACUACAUAAAAUGUCGUGUUUUAAAUACGCAAUAUUUUCGCAUUUCGGAAAUUCAAGAAAUCUUACCCUCACUUAUAAGGUUUUGAUUUUAUCGUUAAACCCAGAUAGCAAAAUAUCUCUUCAAAAUUUAAAAUAUAUGAAUUUUAAAUUAUAAUAAAGAUAACAUUCCGUGUUCGGAGAUUUUAGAGAUCGUGUCCUAAUGUGUUGGAUUUCUAUUUUUUUCGUUUGACCCAAAUGACCGAAUCACCUUUUGAAAUUAAAACGCAUGGGUUUUGAAAAUCAAAAGACAAGCUUAUUCUCGAGGUUUUAAAAUGUUGUGUCUUAACGUACUGGAUGUGACAUUUUAUUACUUCGGAACAAGAAGGUCUUUAACAUUUGUUUCGAUUUACGCAAGUAAAUUCUUCGUAAAAAAUCAACAUUAAAAAAGAGAAGAUCGUUUUUUUAAAUCUUUUCGAGUUUUUAAAUUUCAACAUUAAGACAUUAAUUAAUCAAUUAGGUACCAAUCUUGGGAGUUACAAGGGUGCUAAUUCUUCCUCGUACGUAACCGACUCCAAAAUAUGUUUUCUCAAAUUUUGUAGACCAAAAUCGCUGUUUUAGUAAUACCAAAAUAUUUUAUUAAAACAAUUAAAUUACGAGGUAAUCUGACUGCACUUAAAUAAAAAAAAGAUUGGUGGCGAUUCUUAUUUUUUAUUUUCACUUUUAAAAUAAAAGUCGACUCAUUUUUUUCAAAAAAAAUGGUUUCAACAAAAUCCGUGGAUAUUAAUAUUUCUCUUAAAUGAAUUUUGGGAAGGAACCAUUUUAAUUGUAGGAUAUUGUUUACACUCCAUGAUCCUAUUCUUAGGCGGUAGUGAUCCUCUGCGGUUGAUUCUGUCUAGUAUAUUCUUAGGAUGUUGGCUAUUCAUUAGUCUAUGUAGGUUCUAUAUAAAGGGAUGUUGUGCACGUUGUAACUCGUAAAAAAUCAAAUUUAUAUUUAUUCUUUUUUUCAACCUACUUGUUUUCUGUCAAUUAAAAUUCUAACACUUCAAAUAUCAGAGUUCAAAUUUCAUAAAUGAUAUCUUCUUUUCAAAAACUUGCAAUUUGAAAGAAAACAAAAACAAAUUUUAAACUUGCAUGGGUGCCUAAUUCUAGAAAACUGUUAUUGAUGAAUUAUUAGAAGAAAAGAAUUUGAAACUAAAGGGUUUAAUGUCCAUAAAAACACUAAUUAUAAACUUUAUUAACAUUUCCAAAUUAUAUAGUGUUGGAGUAAUCAAAUGAAAAGUUAUAUCAAUUGAUUAUUAAUUAGAAUUUGUCACUAUUUAUAGUGAUGAGUUAUGCUUCUUAAAUUCUAAAGUUUUGUCACUUGAUUAUUAACAAAUAGUUAUAAUUAUUCAGGUAGAUAUCUAUCAGAUAAUUAUGUUUAUUACUAAAGAUAUGACUAUCCAUUUAGGUAGUUAUGUCUUUAUGAUGUAGAUAUCUAUAUUUCAUUUACAUGACACGCCAAACAACAUAGAAACUUUGUUUUUAUAUUUUCAUCAGUAUAAAAUGUAGACAAUUAUUAAGCUUCAUUGUAUCCUUAAGGUUCAUCUACUAUUAAUCUUUUCGCACACUAUAAUAUAAGUGGGGGUGAACAGAACUUUAAAGAAAGUGGCAUUGCCUUGAAGCUUUCAUUAAUUUCUUAUAAAUUCAUUUUAUCCCCCCACCAACAAUUUUAAGGUUCUAUUUUCGUAAUUUAUGAUAAAUUAAAGAAGGUAUGGCUAUUCACUAUGCAUUCACAUGCCACUACAAUCAUGGUACUAUGAGGAUGACUUCAGAAAGGGGAUAACAUUGAGGUUAGUGAUUUAAUUAUUGGCUUAGAAGAAAUAUUUGUAGCAAUAACAACAGAUACGUCAAUUUUUGGUUUACUAUUAUUGCAUGAAUUGAAUUUCAUGGUUAUGUUCUAUCGAGAUUAGUUAUAUUAUGCAAAAAGUAUAAGUGUCUCAUGGAUUAGUUUUUGAUAAAGUCAAAUGCUAAUUUAUUAUAUACAUGAUAUACAUGCAUAGUUAUGACUGGUACAUAAUUAUGUAAUAUAUAUGAUAUGCAUAUAUUUUUACAAUCAUGAAAGGAGAAAGAAAAGGAGUUAAUGAAAUUUUUAAGCAAUGCAAGGAAAUAAUGUUUCGGUUGGCCCCUUAAACCGAAAACAUAUGUUUGUUCAAUGAUUUCAAAUCAUGAUAACCAUGUAUAUUUAGUAAACUUCCAACCAUGAAAAUUUAUGAUUUUUCAAAAAGACAAUUCUAUACUUAUUUAUACAUUAUAUGUAGAUGUUUGGUUGGAGUUGAAUUAAAUUAAUUCACUCCAUUUAAUUUGUGAGUGAAAUUUUUAGUGCAAAAUUAUUUUUUUGUGAUAUAUAUUUAAUUUGAUAUAUGAAUUUAUUUGUUUAUUUAAAUCAUGAUAUUAGUAACUAGCAUUUAAAUGAUAUUGAUGAGCCAUCAUUUUCAUUUCUAAAAUGAAAGUUUGUAAAUGAUCAUUAUAAUAUAAAUAAUUUUUGUUGUUGUUUUUGUUAAAUAACCUUAAGCUAAAUGGGCUUCAUAUAUGAUUGCACCUUUUUUAUUUUAUGUAAUCAGGUUUGAAAUAGAAGUGGUUUUGACUAGAAAUGAAAUAAGUUAUAUGCAUGGUUAAUUUUUCUAGUCAACGUAGAAUAGUAAAAAGCAUUGACCUAUAUAAUAAGAUCAAUAUUCUGGUAUGAAAUCUCCUAGUGAGAAUAUAUAACGUGAUAAUCAUAUAUUUGAAAUCAAGAUGAUAUUGUACAUAUUCACGAUAGUACAUGUGGUUUUUUUAUAUACGGUUUGAUUAUGAUCUACAAUCUCGUGGUUCUAUACAAUUUUGAGAUGUAAUACUCAACUCAAUGCUUAGUAUAACGUUUAAGUCUUGAGUUCAAUGAGAUAAAGUACAACAUCAAUAUGUGACUAUUAGCACUAUAAAAUAAUAUAUAUAAUAUAUCAUCCCAAGGUAAAAAGUGUUAGGUACUCGUAAUGAUAAGGGGAAGGAUGAGUAUUACACUCUUAAGACCCAUAACAUAAAUAUGUUAGUGUUAUAAUUACAAGAGCACUAUUGAUGGGAUCUACCUAUGUGAGUGGAAGUGUGGCUGAUUCUAGGAGCUUAGGGUUUAGCUUUGACAACACUCAUUAAAAAGAGGUUACAAACACAUUACCAUAAUAGUGUCAUUGGAUGCUAUGCAUUAAUUGGCAUUGAAAUCACUGUGUGAGAUGUGUUCGGUUAACCAAAUUGAAUAGUUGGUCCAAAGCAUAGUUUACUAUGCAAUUUUGAUUAACUUUAACAUGUUUUCACUAAGUGAAGGUUCAAUCGUAAGACACCUUACACAAUUGAUUUCCAAAUUUAUCAAAAUCUAGAAUAUGUUGAAAAUGGGAGAGGAUUGUUAGAACAUUUCCAAAAUAUAUAGUGUUCCAGUAGUUGCAAAUGAAAAUUUAUAAGUAACCAAAGUUAUGUCACUUGGUUAUUAACCAAAAGUUGUCACUAUUUACAGUGAUGAGUUAUAUCUCUUAAAUCCAAAAAUUAUGUCACUUGAUUAUUAACAAAUAAUUAUAAUUAUUCAAGUAGAUAUCUAUUGAACAAUUAUGUUAUUGUUAAAGAUGUAGUUAUAUCCCUAUAAAGAGACAUGAGACCUUUUGUAAAUAGGACUUGUAAAUAGGAAUGGAAUUUCAUUUGCGUGACACACCAAAAAACAUAGAAACAAAGUUUCUUUUUAUUCUUCCACCAUCUUUCAUAUUACUAGAUUGUUCUAUAGAGAAUUAUUGUAGAUUUUUUUUUAUAGAAAUUGAUAUUAUUGUUAUGCUCCACUUAAUGCUCAGUUGAUUAUUUCUGUCGAUGCAAAACGUAAAUAGUCAUUGGGCUAUUGUAUCCUCAAGGUUCAUUUGCCACUAACUCUUUUACAUACCAUAAUAUAGGUGGGGCGAAUAGUGUUGGAAAAAAUUUGGUUCGAAAAUGCUUUUCUUACAUAGUGAAAAAUUAAAAUUUUGAAAGUCGAGUUAGUUUGUGAUAUUUAUAGCAAUAAACUUUAUCUGAAAUCGCACCUAUGUUUUUUGGCUAGACAGAUCCUUGUCAUUCCCGACUUUCAACUAAACGACCUUCUCUUUUAUUCUCGUACCACGAAUUGCUUUGAUUGUGGGCUCAAACAAAUUCAAAUCAAACACAAUGCAACACCCUAACCCGUAUUCGUCGCCGAUUAGGGUCACAAGACAUUACUAAACAAAAGCACAGUUCCGAACAUUUACAUAUUCACACAAAUCAUAAUCGUAUAUAUAUAUAAAGCAUGUAGCUAAUUAAAUAUUAAAAAUACAUUAUUAAUUAUAUUGCAAACACGAAUUGUACCUCAAGAUUCAAUCAAAUUCAUACCAUUUCCAUCUCCCAAACUUAAAUUUAACAUAUACUGAGCAUAUAUCAUAAAUUCAAAUUUGAUUCAUAUAUUUUAUUAUUAUUUUUAUUUUAUAUUCGAAGCAACUAGCUUGCCACAAGUCAUGUUAUACACGCUUUAUAAUUCUACUAUUCUAACCAUACAUAUAUCUCAUUUAUAGCUUCUCUACUUAACAAAUUAUAAGGAAACUUAUUACUCCACAAUUCCAUGCACAUACAUUGAUACAUCCAAACAUGAAAUUUUAGCAACCAUUACUAAAUGGUCAAGUUAUUCCACAUGAAUUAAUAGACAAAAUUAUACAAGUACAUACAAGCAUUACCAAAUGAUCGAAUCUCAAUCGUAUUUAUAACUAAUUCAUG
rnacentral:lncRNA from 1 species